UCGAACGCGAUUAAGGGGCUUGCUCCUUAUGAAAGUGGCGCACGGGUGCGUAACGCGUAUGCAACCUACCUUUAUCAGGGGGAUAGCCCGGAGAAAUCCGGAUUAACACCGCAUAAAAUCACAGGAUAGCAUUAUCUAAUGAUCAAAUAUUUAUAGGAUAAAGAUGGGCAUGCGUGUCAUUAGCUAGUUGGCGGGGUAACGGCCCACCAAGGCGACGAUGACUAGGGGAUCUGAGAGGAUGGCCCCCCACACUGGUACUGAGACACGGACCAGACUCCUACGGGAGGCAGCAGUAAGGAAUAUUGGUCAAUGGAGGCAACUCUGAACCAGCCAUGCCGCGUGCAGGAAGACUGCCCUAUGGGUUGUAAACUGCUUUUAUCCGGGAAUAAACCUACUUACGUGUAAGUAGCUGAAUGUACCGGAAGAAUAAGGAUCGGCUAACUCCGUGCCAGCAGCCGCGGUAAUACGGAGGAUCCAAGCGUUAUCCGGAUUUAUUGGGUUUAAAGGGUGCGUAGGCGGCCUGUUAAGUCAGGGGUGAAAGACGGUAGCUCAACUAUCGCAGUGCCCUUGAUACUGAUGGGCUUGAAUGGACUAGAGGUAGGCGGAAUGAGACAAGUAGCGGUGAAAUGCAUAGAUAUGUCUCAGAACACCGAUUGCGAAGGCAGCUUACUAUGGUCUUAUUGACGCUGAGGCACGAAAGCGUGGGGAUCAAACAGGAUUAGAUACCCUGGUAGUCCACGCCCUAAACGAUGAACACUCGCUGUUGGCGAUACACAGUCAGCGGCUAAGCGAAAGCGUUA
rnacentral:rRNA from 1 species